CCUGGUGGCUCAGAAGUUAAAGUGUCUGCCUGCAAUGCGGAAGACCUGGGUUCGAUUCCCGGGUCAGGA
rnacentral:tRNA from 1 species